CCUGCCUCUCCUGGCUCAUAGCAUUUGUUCCACUCUGCAUGUCUACACUGUUACCUUAUUUCUUUCCCCAAAUGUCUCCUAACAACAGUGUCUACUUCCCAACUCAACAACACCUGUCUGGGCUCUUCUUCUUAUGACCUUCAUGACUUUGGGCAAGUCACAUGCUUCACUUAUCUCCACUAUAAAAUAAGGGGACUGCUAAUUAUGGGUGUAUGAGCAAAUCAAGAAGAUUGUUGUACCCAGAGUUGGUAAAGGGACACUUGUAAGCUCCUUCUGAGCAGUUGCCUCCUGCCCCAUACCAUCUAUUGUACUAGAGGGUUAUCAGGAACCAAAGCUUGACACGUCUCUGAGAGGGAGGGAACAGAUAAAGAGAAACACCACUUCCUCUCCCAGGCAGAGGUGUCCCAGAGAAGGAAGUUGGAUCUAUGUUGAGCUGAAAGCUGGAGGUUCCAGUCCCAUUCCCUGUUGUCAGCCAAAGUUCCAUUUCCUCCUGCAGUCCUUGCAGUGCAUACCACAUCUCUCUCGUCCACACUAAGGAUCCCUAGAAGCCUUUGCUGCUAUUUCAGCUCCCCCAGGACUUGGGGCUGUGCCCAAAUUGGGGCCUGCCCCGGCACACUGCUCUGUGCUCCACCUCCACCAAGGAGCACUAGAUCCCUUGUGCUGGC
rnacentral:lncRNA from 1 species